UACGUAGGGUGCAAGCGUUGCUCGGAAUGACUGGGCGUAAAGGGCGCGUAGGCGGAUGGCACAGUCAGAUGUGAAAUUCCCGGGCUUAACCUGGGGGCUGCAUUUGAUACGUGUUGUCUUGAGUUCGGAAGAGGGUCGUGGAAUUCCCAGUGUAGAGGUGAAAUUCGUAGAUAUUGGGAAGAACACCGGUGGCGAAGGCGGCGACCUGGUCCGACACUGACGCUGAGGCGCGAAAGCGUGGGGAGCAAACAGG
rnacentral:rRNA from 1 species